UUUUUGUCAGGAAAACCGCAGUCAGUCAGGUCUAUACACUGAAGAAGAGCCCGUGGCAGCAGUGUAACCAAAAGACAGUCAGGGGUCGAGGUCCCAGGAAGCUUUUGAAGAUCUAAAGGGCCAGACACAGGUGAUGGACCCUGCGGAUUGUGCUACUACUGAAGAAAACUCCACGCUCUCCAGUGAACGAUGUGGAGGAGAGUAACUGGGCACCCAAAAUAAUCCUAUGAAGACUUUUGUAUGCAAAUAACAGAAAACUUGUUUGAUUUUUAAAUCUGAGUAUUUCUUACAAUUUAUUACAAAAAAAAUUGCCUUGUUUUUACACUUGCACAUAUAUUUUUGUGAAAAGGAUACCAUUAUUGACGCUAUCAGAAUGCUUAAAAUAUGCUUGUUUUUCAACUGGUGGGAUAUAUUCCAUAUACCUGUGCCUUGCCU